AUCCAGCUGACGAGUCCCGAAUAGGAUGAAACGCGUGUCCUGGAU
rfam:Schistosoma haematobium scaffold336_5, whole genome shotgun sequence.